rnacentral:rRNA from 1 species
UACGGGGGGGGGGCAAGCGUUGUUCGGAAUUAUUGGGCGUAAAGGGCGCGUAGGCGGCUUUUCAAGUGACGGGUGAAAUCCCUCGGCUUAACCGAGGAACUGCCUGUCAGACUGGAAGGCUUGAGACCGGGAGAGGUGAGUGGAAUUCCCAGUGUAGCGGUGAAAUGCGUAGAUAUUGGGAGGAACACCAGUGGCGAAGGCGGCUCACUGGACCGGAACUGACGCUGAGGCGCGAAAGCGUGGGGAGCAAACAGG